CGGAGACAGCGGUGUGCAAAAUGGAGAAUCUCAGGACUGGUCUUUCAGGAACGUUCCAGGUCGCGGGCGUGCUGGAGCAUAUCCCAGCUGUCAUCGGGCAGGAGGCGGGGUACACCCUGAACUGGUUGCCAGCCAAUCGCAGGGCACAUACAAACAAACAACCAUUUGCACUCACAGUCAUGCCUACGGGCAAUUUAGAGUCUCCAAUUCAUGCAUGUUUUUGGGAAGUGGGAGGAAACCAGAGUGCCCGGAGAAAACCCACGCAGGCACGGGGAGAACAUGCAAACUCCACACAGGCGGGGCCGGGGAUUGAACCCGGGUCCUCAGAACUGUGAGGCCGACGCUCUAACCAGUCGCCCACCGUGCCGCUUGUACAUGUUGGGUGAUGAGAAACAAAAAAAAUAAACUGCACAAUUAUUGUACAUUUGACAAACUUGCUAGGAACAAAAUAAACAUCAUAAAACCACAAAAUAAAGUGUUUGAAAUA